CACGGGGGGAGCAAGCGUUGUUCGGAAUCACUGGGCGUAAAGGGCGUGUAGGCGGUCAGGUAAGUGGGAUGUGAAAUGCCCCGGCUCACCCGGGGACCGGCAUCUCAUACUGCUUGGCUUGAGUACGGGAGAGGAUGUGGGAAUUCCUGGUGUAGCGGUGAAAUGCGCAGAUAUCAGGAAGAACACCCGUGGCGAAGGCGGCUCUCUGGGACGGUACUGACGCUGAGACGCGAAAGCGUGGGGAGCGAACAGG
rnacentral:rRNA from 1 species